rnacentral:rRNA from 1 species
AUUGAACGCUGGCGGCAGGCCUAACACAUGCAAGUCGAACGGUAACAGGAAGCAGCUUGCUGCUUCGCUGACGAGUGGCGGACGGGUGAGUAAUGUCUGGGAAACUGCCUGAUGGAGGGGGAUAACUACUGGAAACGGUAGCUAAUACCGCAUAACGUCGCAGGACCAAAGAGGGGGACCUUAGGGCCUCUUGCCAUCGGAUGUGCCCAGAUGGGAUUAGCUAGUAGGUGGGGUAACGGCUCACCUAGGCGACGAUCCCUAGCUGGUCUGAGAGGAUGACCAGCCACACUGGAGCUGAGACACGGUCCAGACUCCUACGGGAGGCAGCAGUGGGGAAUAUUGCACAAUGGGCGCAAGCCUGAUGCAGCCAUGCCGCGUGUAUGAAGAAGGCCUUCGGGUUGUAAAGUACUUUCAGCGGGGAGGAAGGGAGUAAAGUUAAUACCUUUGCUCAUUGACGUUACCCGCAGAAGAAGCGCCGGCUAACUCCGUG